GACGAACCGAGCGAACGUUGUUCGGAAUCACUGGGCGUAAAGCGCACGUAGGCGGGUUGCUAAGUCAGGGGUGAAAUCCUGGAGCUCAACUCCAGAACUGCCCUUGAUACUGGCGGCCUUGAGUCCGGGAGAGGUGAGUGGAACUGCGAGUGUAGAGGUGAAAUUCGUAGAUAUUCGCAAGAACACCAGUGGCGAAGGCGGCUCACUGGCCCGGUACUGACGCUGAGGUGCGAAAGCGUGGGGAGCAAACAGG
rnacentral:rRNA from 1 species